GCUGUCAUCGGGGGCUGUCACUGGUGGCACCGCUGGGCUGCCAGGGAGUCCCAGGACAGGUCCCCACCACCGGUGUCACUCUCAGGGCCCCCAUGGGUGUUCCCCAGCUCUGCCCCACCUCGGGAUCUGCAAGUGACCAACGCGGAGCUGUCGGGACCCCCCGCGGGACAGCGGGACCCCUGUGACUACGAGAACAUGCUGUGACACUGGGGGGCACUGGGGACACUGGGGGGCACUGGGGACACUGGGGACACUGGGGACACUGGGGGUCCCUGCCCCAGGACACCCCCUGUGUUUCUCCCCACCCCAGCUCCCCUGGGUGCCCACCGUGCCUGGGUUUGGGGGUUCCAAACUCCAGAGCUCCCCGUUCCAGCGCUCCCAGUGCCCCCAG